rnacentral:rRNA from 1 species
AUGCGCAAUCAAGUAUUUUUCUUGAAAAAUCUUGGGGUCUUUCAAUUUUCGCCUUUGCAAAAUUAUUCCUUGUGCCACACAGUUCUUCUCAUGAGUUUUGCAAAAAAUACCCCAGAGUGGAAAAUGCCUCGUCCCUGGACUCGUUGCAUGCUAAAUCCACCGGAAGAAGUUUCUGGGACCCAGACAAGCAACAACUUCACACAGGGGCAGUCUAGUCAGCAGGGCAGUGAAGCAGCAUUUUCUCAAGUAUGCCGCCUUUUCGAGCAAAGCCAGCAGCAGCAUCAAGAAAUGAUGAAUCAGGUUAUCAAUAUGGGAAACCACCGUGAACCAUACCAACCGCAUUCCAAGUUGUCUGAACUACAAAAGACACGUCCUACAACGUUCGCUCACACUGAUAGGCCGCUUGAGGCCAAUGAUUGGCUUCGUGACACCGAAAGGAAAUUAAUUAUUGCACAAUGCUCAGACUGUGAGAAGGUGCUUUAUGCACCUCACUACCUCACUGGAGCAGCUGCAGCAUGGUGGGAAAAUUUUCUACACAUGCACCCCAAUGAACAUAACAUCACCUGGGAAGAGUUUAAGGAAGGUUUUCGUGGGGCGCACAUUCCCAGGAGCAUUAUAAAGAUCAAGAAAAGGGACUUUGAUGACCUCAAGCAGAGAGGCAUGACAGUGACUGAGUACAAUAGUCAGUUUCUCAACUAUCUCGUUAUGCCUACGAUGAGCAUAUGA